CAAAAGUGCUGUCUGCAAGGUUCAUCGAGUUUAAUUAAUACGUUGGUGUCACUUGAAACUUUGACAUGAUCUCCUUUGAAGAUCAUUGCCUAAACUGUUAAAGUUUCGUGAUUGUGGUACCCAUUGUGAAUCAUUGAGGGGGUUUAAGUCAGUCAGUGGCAACAUCCCAGUGCAUUGAAUACCAAGGUGUUAUGUAUUUUGCCAGUUGUUGAGUUGUCUUGGAAAUAUGAGUCUGUGUGAACAAGAUUCACGUGCAGCCAUGAGUAUGACUCAUUGUGAGAUAACAGAUAUAAACCUUUGUGGUUUUGAUGAGACAUUUGGGUGUUGAAGAGUAGUCCAUUUUGCCAGAGCUUGAGUUGUGGUCGUCUUGUCAGAGGUCUGCAGUUGUUCCCACCUGGCCUAAACGAUGUCAGCAACUCUUACCCUGACAAAUGCUCAGGAACCAACCCCUUCUCUGUGAGUAUAUUAAAACUACCUGUGUGUUUCAGAAAUUACUUUAAGAUUUAUAAUGCAGGAAGCCAGAAAUUGAUCAGAAAUAUUCACAUUACUUAUCACUUUUGCCCGGUUUCCUCCCACCAUAUUGCUGGCCACUGUCACAUAAGUGAAAUAUUCUUGAGUACAACGUAAAACACCAAUCAAAUAAACAAACCGACUGCCUUGUCUAUUUUCCUAUUACUCUGCCUUGUCUAUUUCCCUAUUAUGUUGUCUAUUUCUCUAGUAACGGAUAACAAACCAAAUAGCAGCACUUUUCAUGUGUGGCCAAUAUAUAAGAUAAUUUAAAUCGUUUCACAUGAAGCUGUAGCUCACGAAUAGUGCAUGCAUUAUGUCUAGCUAGUCUAGGAUGAAAAGCUAGUCUA